CCUACGGGAGGCAGCAGUGGGGGAUAUUGCACAAUGGGCGAAAGCCUGAUGCAGCGACGCCGCGUGAGGGAAGACGUUCUUCGGAUUGUAAAGCUCUGUCUGUGGGGAAGAAGAUGACGGUACCUGACGAGGAAGCUCCGGCUAACUACGUGCCAGCAGCCGCGGUAAUACGUAGGGGGCGAGCGUUGUCCGGAAUUACUGGGUGUAAAGGGAGCGUAGGCGGGGAUGCAAGCAGGAUGUUAAAACUUGGGGCUAAACCGGGAACUGCAAUCAAAAACGCACUUCUUGAGUGGAGGAGAGGCAGGCGGAAUUCCUAGUGUAGCGGUGAAAUGCGUAGAUAUUAGGAGGAACACCAGUGGCGAAGGCGGCCUGCUGGGCGUUAACUGACGUUGAGGCUCGAAAGCGUGGGGAGCAAACAGGAUUAGAUACCCUAGUAGUC
rnacentral:rRNA from 1 species